rnacentral:rRNA from 1 species
ACGCUCGACACCUACGGGAGGCAGCAGUGGGGGAUAUUGCACAAUGGGGAAACCCGUACGAUGCAGCAACGCCGCGUGAAGGAAGAAGGUCUUCGGUAUUGUAAACUUACUGUCCUCAGGGAAGGAUAAUGACGGUACCGUCGAGGAGGGAAGGACGUCCCGGCCGUAACCUACGUGCACAGCCGCAGUAAUACUGAGGCGGGCGUGGCGAGGC